AUAAACACGUCAAUCGAAGUAAAGAAUUUAAUAUCCAAGAAAAAAAUGCUGAAUAUGUAAAGCAUCAUUUAUUAUAGAAUUAAAAUGAUAUACCAAUUAUACGGGUUACAUCUUAAAAAAGAUGAUUAUCUUGGAAAGGAUACACAGGUGAACAAAGUUAAGGAACGCGUGAAAAUCUAAAGUUUAAAUAAAAGAGAAGAAAUUUCCGAUGGCUGUGGGAAUGUAACAAAAUUUUAAAGUAGCGAUUUAAGAUAAUCAAUCAUCUACAAACACGUUUUCGGCCACAGCGAAUACGUUCACCACUAAGAAUGUCGGUGGUGCGCUCUCAAAGUAAAAAAAAAGAGUUCAAUGGACUGGCACUGGUUUCACCAAGAACGAUGAGCGAGAAGCGAUUGGAGCUACAAAAUAAGAAAUGAGUUGGCGCGCGAGCAGUGAGAAGCGAGUAUAGUUCUGGGAGUGCGCAAAAGAAUUGCACGACCUGAUCCCAGCUUUCCCUUUCCGGACGUCCAGGCGCGAGGAGCGAAUGCACCCGUUCGUUGUUAAUAUUCCAUUUGUCCGCACAAAACGAUUUGCCUCAUCUUUUUUGGUAAGGACGAUUAAGGAAUGGAAUGCGCUUCCGUCAUCUGUGUUUCCUGGGAAAUUUGACCUCGGUCUCUUUAAAGCAAGAGUGAAUAGGCUAUUACUUACUGAGCCGGUAAGCUCCAUCAUCUUAGGCUCUGUUUUCACUUUCCAUCAGGUGUGACUAGAGCCAAUGCCCGUUCAGUUUAUUAUAAAAAAUAUAUAUACAAAGAG